rnacentral:rRNA from 1 species
UACAGAGGUCUCAAGCGUUGUUCGGAUUCAUUGGGCGUAAAGGGUGCGUAGGUGGCGGGGUAAGUCUGGUGUGAAAUCUCGGGGCUCAACCCCGAAACUGCACUGGAUACUGCCUUGCUAGAGUACUGGAGAGGAGAUUGGAAUUUACGGUGUAGCAGUGAAAUGCGUAGAUAUCGUAAGGAAGACCAGUGGCGAAGGCGGGUCUCUGGACAGUUCCUGACGCUGAGGCACGAAGGUCAGGGGAGCAAACGGG